UCGUCAAUUUGCGAUCCGGAAGGGGGUUCCUGGAUUUGAUUGGGUCAGGCCAGUGCCAAUAAAGAAAAUUAACCAAUGGGCCGCUGUCAGUUCUUUAUGGGCCAGCGCGGCCAAAAAAAAAAAAAA